GAACGCUAGCGGCAGGCUUAACACAUGCAAGUCGAGGGGCAGCGGGGAGUAGCAAUACUCCGCCGGCGACCGGCGCACGGGUGCGUAACGCGUAUGCAACCUACCUUUAACAGGGGCAUAACACUGAGAAAUUGGUACUAAUUCCCCAUAACAUUCGAGAAGGCAUCUUCUUGGGUUAAAAACUCCGGUGGUUAAAGAUGGGCAUGCGUUGUAUUAGCUAGUUGGUGAGGUAACGGCUCACCAAGGCGACGAUACAUAGGGGGACUGAGAGGUUAACCCCCCACAUUGGUACUGAGACACGGACCAAACUCCUACGGGAGGCAGCAGUGAGGAAUAUUGGUCAAUGGACGCAAGUCUGAACCAGCCAUGCCGCGUGCAGGAAGACGGCUCUAUGAGUUGUAAACUGCUUUUGUACUAGGGUAAACGCUCUUACGUGUAGGAGCCUGAAAGUAUAGUACGAAUAAGGAUCGGCUAACUCCGUGCCAGCAGCCGCGGUAAUACGGAGGAUCCAAGCGUUAUCCGGAUUUAUUGGGUUUAAAGGGUGCGUAGGCGGUUUGAUAAGUUAGAGGUGAAAUACCGGGGCUCAACUCCGGAACUGCCUCUAAUACUGUUGAACUAGAGAGUAGUUGCGGUAGGCGGAAUGUAUGGUGUAGCGGAGAAAUGCUUAGAGAUCAUACAGAACACCGAUUGCGAAGGCAGCUUACCAAACUAUAUCUGACGUUGAGGCACGAAAGCGUGGGGAGCAAACAGGAAUUAGAUACCCUGGUAGUCCACGCAGUAAAACGAUGAUAACUCGUUGUCGGGCGAUACACAGUCGGUGACUAAGCGAAAGCGAUAAGUUAUCCACCUGGGGAGUACGUUCGCAAGAAUGAAACUCAAAGGAAUUGACGGGGGCCCGCACAAGCGGAGGAACAUGUGGUUUAAUUCGAUGAUACGCGAGGAACCUUACCCGGGCUUGAAAGUUAGUGACGAUUCUGGAAACAGGAUUUCCCUUCGGGGCACGAAACUAGGUGCUGCAUGGUUGUCGUCAGCUCGUGCCGUGAGGUGUCGGGUUAAGUCCCAUAACGAGCGCAACCCCUACCGUUAGUUGCCAUCAGGUCAAGCUGGGCACUCUGGCGGGACUGCCGGUGUAAGCCGAGAGGAAGGUGGGGAUGACGUCAAAUCAGCACGGCCCUUACGUCCGGGGCUACACACGUGUUACAAUGGUAGGUACAGAGGGCCGCUACCCCGCGAGGGGAUGCCAAUCUCGAAAGCCUAUCUCAGUUCGGAUCGGAGGCUGAAACCCGCCUCCGUGAAGUUGGAUUCGCUAGUAAUCGCGCAUCAGCCAUGGCGCGGUGAAUACGUUCCCGGGCCUUGUACACACCGCCCGUCAAGCCAUGGAAGCUGGGGGUGCCUGAAGUUCGUGACCGCAAGGAGCGACCUAGGGCAAAACCGGUGACUGGG
rnacentral:rRNA from 1 species